rnacentral:rRNA from 1 species
AUUGAACGCUGGCGGCAUGCCUUACACAUGCAAGUCGAACGGUAACAGGUCUUCGGAUGCUGACGAGUGGCGAACGGGUGAGUAAUACAUCGGAACGUGCCUAGUAGUGGGGGAUAACUACUCGAAAGAGUGGCUAAUACCGCAUGAGAUCUACGGAUGAAAGCAGGGGAUCGCAAGACCUUGUGCUUCUAGAGUGGCCGAUGGCAGAUUAGGUAGUUGGUGGGAUAAAAGCUUACCAAGCCGACGAUCUGUAGCUGGUCUGAGAGGACGAUCAGCCACACUGGGACUGAGACACGGCCCAGACUCCUACGGGAGGCAGCAGUGGGGAAUUUUGGACAAUGGGCGAAAGCCUGAUCCAGCAAUGCCGCGUGCAGGAUGAAGGCCUUCGGGUUGUAAACUGCUUUUGUACGGAACGAAAAGCCCCGGGUUAAUACCCUGGGGUCAUGACGGUACCGUAAGAAUAAGCACCGGCUAACUACGUGCCAGCAGCCGCAGUAA